rnacentral:rRNA from 1 species
AGUGUUAUCCGGAAUCACUGGGCGUAAAGCGUCUGUAGGUGGUCUAAUAAGUCAACUGUUAAAUCUUGAGGCUCAACCUCAAAACCGCAGUCGAAACUAUUAGACUAGAGUAUAGUAGAGGUAAAGGGAAUUUCCAGUGGAGCGGUGAAAUGCGUAGAGAUUGGAAAGAACACCAAUGGCGAAGGCACUUUACUGGGCUACUGCUGACACUCAGAGACGAAAGCUAGGGUAGCAAAUGGGAUUAGAUACCCCAGUAGUCCUAGCUGUAAACAAUGGAUACUAGGUGUUGAACAGAUCGAACUGUGCAGUACUAAAGCUAACGCGUUAAGUAUCCCGCCUGGGAAGUAUGCACGCAAGUGUGAAACUCAAAGGAAUUGACGGGGGCCCGCACAAGCGGUGGAGCAUGUGGUUUAAUUCGAUGCAACGCGAAGAACCUUACCAGGGUUUGACAUGAUACGAAUUUCUUUGAAAUAAGAAAGUGCUAUUUAUUUAGAACGUAUACACAGGUGGUGCAUGGCCGUCGUCAGCUCGUGUCGUGAGAUGUUGGGUUAAGUCCCGCAACGAGCGCNACCCUUGUUUUUAGUUGCCUUCGG